GAAACUUGAUUUGCUUAUUGCACCACAUGUGUUUUUCUUUGAAACAAACUUGCUUUGGCGGUGGGCCCAGCCUGCCGCCAGAGGUCUAAACUUACAACCAAUUUUUUAUCAACUUGUCACACCAGAUUAUUACUAAUAGUCAAAACUUUCAACAACGGAUCUCUUGGUUCUCGCAUCGAUGAAGAACGCAGCGAAAUGCGAUACGUAAUAUGAAUUGCAGAUAUUCGUGAAUCAUCGAAUCUUUGAACGCACAUUGCGCCCUCUGGUAUUCCGGAGGGCAUGCCUGUUUGAGCGUCGUUUCUCCCUCAAACCGCUGGGUUUGGUGUUGAGCAAUACGACUUGGGUUUGCUUGAAAGACGGUAGUGGUAAGGCGGGAUCGCUUUGACAAUGGCUUAGGUCUAACCAAAAACAUUGCUUGCGGCGGUAACGUCCACCACGUAUAUCUUCAAACUUUGACCUCAAAUCAGGUAGGACUACCCGCUGAACUUAAGCAUAUCAAUAAGCGGAGGAA
rnacentral:rRNA from 1 species